AAAUGAAUAGACGGGGGCCCGCACAAGCGGCGGAGCAUGCGGAUUAAUUCGAUGCAACGCGAAGAACCUUACCAAGGCUUGACAUACUUGAGAAGCCACCAGAGAUGGUGGUCUCUUUGGACACUCAUGUACAGGUGGUGCAUGGUUGUCGUCAGCUCGUGUCGUGAGAUGUUGGGUUAAGUCCCGCAACGAGCGCAACCCUCGUCCUAUGUUGCCAGCACGUGAUGGUGGGGACUCAUAGGAGACUGCCGGGGUCAACUCGGAGGAAGGUGGGGAUGACGUCAAAUCAUCAUGCCCCUUAUGUCUUGGGCUUCACGCAUGCUACAAUGGCCGGUACAAAGGGCUGCGAUACCGUGAGGUGGAGCGAAUCCCAGAAAGCCGGUCUCAGUUCGGAUUGGGGUCUGCAACUCGACCCCAUGAAGUUGGAGUCGCUAGUAAUCGCAGAUCAGCAUUGCUGCGGUGAAUACGUUCUCGGGCCUUGUACACACCGCCCGU
rnacentral:rRNA from 1 species